rnacentral:rRNA from 1 species
GACGAACGCUGGCGGCGUGCUUAACACAUGCAAGUCGAACGGAAAGGCCCGGCUCUUGUGGGGUGCUCGAGUGGCGAACGGGUGAGUAACACGUGAGUAACCUGCCCUUGACUGAGGGAUAACUUCAGGAAACUGGGGCUAAUACCGGAUAGGAGCUCCUGCUGCAUGGUGGGGGUUGGAAAGAUUCGGCGGUUGGGGAUGGACUCGCGGCUUAUCAGCUUGUUGGGGGGGUAGUGGCUGACCAAGGCUUUGACGGGUAGCCGGCCUGAGAGGGUGACCGGCCACAUUGGGACUGAGAUACGGCCCAGACUCCUACGGGAGGCAGCAGUGGGGAAUAUUGCACAGUGGGCGGACGCCUGAUGCAGCGACGCCGCGUGCGGGAUGACGUCCUUCGGGUUGUAAACCGAUUUCGCCUGUGACGAGGCGUGAGUGACGGUAAUGGGUAAAGAAGCACCGGCUAACUACGUG